rnacentral:rRNA from 1 species
GACGAACCGUGCGAACGUUGUUCGGAAUCACUGGGCUUAAAGGGCGCGUAGGCGGCCAUCUAAGUCAGACGUGAAAUCCCCCGGCUUAACCUGGGAACUGCGUCUGAUACUGGACGGCUUGAGUAUGGGAGAGGGAUGUAGAAUUCCAGGUGUAGCGGUGAAAUGCGUAGAUAUCUGGAGGAAUACCGGUGGCGAAGGCGGCAUCCUGGACCAUUACUGACGCUGAGGCGCGAAAGCUAGGGGAGCAAACGGG